AUUGAACGCUGGCGGCAGGCUUAACACAUUCAAGUCGAGCGGAGCGGCGGAGGGGGGUGUAAUGCCUAGGAACCUGCCUGGUCGUUGGGGAUAACGUCCGGAAACGGGCGCUAAUACCGCAUACUAUCAGAUGAGACUAGGUUGGAUUCGAUUGUUGGUUGGGUAAAGGCCUACCAAGGCGACGAUCCGUAACUGGUCUGAGCGGAUGAUCAGUCACACUGGAACUGAGACAGGGUCCAGACUCCUACGUGAGGCAGCAAUGGGGAAUACUGGACAAUGGGCGAAAGCCUGAUACAGCCAUGCCGCGUGUGUGAAGAAGGUCUUCGGAUUGUAAAGCACUUUAAGUUGGGAGGCGUUACCAACAGAAUAAGCACCGGCUAACUUCGUGCCAGCAGCCGCGGUAAUUC
rnacentral:rRNA from 1 species